CUUUAAUGGCGGAUCACCUGAGAAAAUAAGAAGUGAGGUAAGGGAGAGAAGAGAAGAGAAGAAAGAACGAAGAGAGAAAAAGGGAUGGGAAAUGAAUUACCAAAAUUUGCAUAACCGUCUCUGUUCCAGCUCCUUGGAAUGUAAGGCCCAAUCUGUUACAGCCCACUAACUAACUAACAACCCACUAACUGCCUCAAUUGAGGAUUGAUCUGGGCCCUUUAUUGAUUAAGCUGACUUCUAAUCUUUGCCAUCCAAUACAACUAACUAUUACAACACAUGUGUUCAUGAAGGGGUAAUAAGCUGCCACGUCGCCUUUCCCAUUUACAUCUCUUAAACGUAUCGAUCAGCUCACUUUCCAAAUCAAAACCCUAAUUUCAUCAAUUUCCCAAUUUAGAGGUACUCCUUCUACAGACAUAACAAGGUUAGUCAUUAGGGAUUGAGAUUUCUGGUGCUUGGUUUUGGAUGUUUAUAGAGAUUGGGGUUGUGGGGAUUUGUGGUUUUUGCUUGAAUUGCUCCCAUGGAUGAGUCCGCCCCAAUUGGGGGGUCGUUUGGAUAUGCCAUAGCGCCUGUCGGAGGCCGGCAGAGAUGUGGGUGGACAGCGCAUGGGUUAGAAACGGUAGAUUGUAAGAGAGAAAAGAAAGACGUCUAAAUCUUUUGUACUCGUCUUUUGUUCCUCAAUCUGAUUUCUACUGACUAUUCUAGCUUGUCAACCAGGAGAUGGAUCUUGACGACACAAAAUCAAAAAUUCUACCUUUAAGGUAAUUGUAUGGUCUUUUACCUGCAAUGUAUUUUGCAAGUGGAAUGCUGUAUUUGGAGAACUUUUUGAAAAAUGGACAAAUUUUAAAAAGUGGCUUUACAAAAGCCAUAUGGUGCAAAUUUAUGUCAGAAUAUCAAGCAAACACUUACUCCCUCCGUUACAUCGUACGUGAACCUAUUUCCUUUUUAGUUUGUGCUAAAAAAUAAUCUGUUUCCUUAUUUGGAAACAAUUUAUCUUUAUGUAAUAAUUUAUAACCACAAAAAAUAUAUGUGCCUCAUUUUAUAUCACAAGUUCAAAAAUCUUCUCUUUUCUUAAACUCCGAACCCAUUCUUCACAUAAAUUGAAACGUAAAGAGUACUUUUUUUCAAAAGGAGAAAAGAAAACAAGGACAGAUGCAGGGGUUACAUUAAUCAAGAGUUUUAAGCUAUAUAUGUUUAAUAGUUCAAAGAAUUAUUAAACCAUUGG
rnacentral:lncRNA from 1 species